AUCAGCUGCCGUUUCAGUGCAGACUCCUGACAGCAGCUGCCACCAUCCUGUUGGUGACUCCAGCAUGUGACCCUGCAGCCCAUCUCACCAGAUGGACUCUUCUCCAGCCCGCCUGCCUCUUCGCUCGUUUCCCUGCGUCUCCGGGCUGCAGCAGCUGAGCCGCACCGGGCCGGGCCGGGCCGGGCCGGGCCAGACCUGGACUCAAAUUAUGUUUUCCUAACUGCUAAAACUUUGCAUCAUCCUGCUCCUAUGGUGGAAAAUGAUUUGAUGAGGAGCCAUGCAAGGCGUCAGACUGACUGGAGUUUGCUGUUGUUACACAUUGAGUAACACUGUGCUGCCCCUCCCCGACCUGCUGCUGCACUGUCCAGAUCAGGAGACUUUCCAUCCCAUCCCAGACACAGAACGAGCUAGCCUAAGCCUCGCUAAGUCACUCUUAGCUCUGCCGCCACAGCUUGUGUGAGCCAAUUCAUGCUGAAUAAGACCAUGUUAAUCUGGGGUUUACAACGGGACUAAGUAACUUGGUUUCUAUCCUCUGUUAACCUGGAAUCGCUGCGAUGGCCAACUGGACUCAGAGCUGCCGCCUCCUUCUCGUUACUGUUCCCAAGACAAGCCACCAGCAUGAGCCGGUGUCCAAAAAUAAGACGUCAGAUCCAACACCUUGCUUUGUUUCCUGUUCUCUUGGAAGUGAAUAAAUUCCAUCAACAUAUUGCAUUUGAGAUUCAUUCUUGUCAUUAUAAAAGGCAGCAGCUUUUGUCUCCAUGCUCUGCAGGAUUAUUCUGUGCGAGUUCUUUAGCAAAUUUUUGUAAAAAUAUUCAAAAAUCUUCUAAAA